UUCACCUGUCAACCACAGCCAUUGGUGAGUUCCCUUGUAUAAACUUACUACCACUUAUCCAUUUCCUUUAAUUCUUUUGGGCCCAUUUGUCACAUAUCAUUCUUUAACCAAAUUAGGGAAUGGUUACGGAAAAUUGAGUACUUCACUUUCACUUUGCCAUAGUAUAACUAUGGUCUUGCGUAUGAUCACUUAUCACCUUUUGAAGUCAUAGUCCUGCCACGGUCUUACACUGAUCACAUUUAUC
rnacentral:lncRNA from 1 species